rnacentral:rRNA from 1 species
UACGAAGGGGGCUAGCGUUGUUCGGAAUUAUUGGGCGUAAAGGGCUCGUAGGCGGUUUGUCGCGUCGGGAGUGAAAACUCAGGGCUUAACCCUGAGCCUGCUUCCGAUACGGGCAGACUAGAGGUAUGCAGGGGAGAACGGAAUUCCUGGUGUAGCGGUGAAAUGCGCAGAUAUCAGGAGGAACACCGGUGGCGAAGGCGGUUCUCUGGGCAUUACCUGACGCUGAGGAGCGAAAGUGUGGGGAGCGAACAGG